ACUGUAAAAAAUCUACUUUUUAUUUUCAGUAGCAGAAGCAGAGACGGUCUGUGCAACAGCAACAAGGUGCGGGUCCAAACCCAUCUGUCAAGACGCUUGUCCACUUGCUGUCCACCCCACCAGCCCAACGAUUGUCCUGGAGAGCCUCUGACCACAAGUCAUAGAAAAAGAGAAUGUCAUUAUCAACUGGAACAGCUUGAGGGAGUACAGUGGUAGAGACAGAGAAGAAGUGCCCUUGACGAGGAAACCAUGGCAGCCAUAUAUACGUCAAGAAGAGAUUUCCAAAUGUGUCCAAAGAGGCUUUGAGGAUUUGAACUGGGGAAACUGAGACUUCUUGAAAGCAAAAAAGUUAUAUUUGUUUGAAUAUUGUAAUUUUUUUGAACAUUGUAAAGUAUGUUCCUUGCUGAUUAUUAUUCAAAUGUUCACUUGUUAUAGACAACAAAUAAAAGUUUUUCAAAUGUGACAUGUGAAUGUAUUUUCUUGGGUUGAAAUAUAU